UACGGGGGGGGCAAGCGUUGUUCGGAAUUACUGGGCGUAAAGGGCUCGUAGGCGGCCAACUAAGUCGGAUGUGAAAUCCCCAGGCUCAACCUGGGAACUGCAUCCGAUACUGGAUGGCUUGAAUCCGGGAGAGGGAUGCAGAAUUCCAGGUGUAGCGGUAAAAUGCGUAGAUAUCCGGAGGAACACCGAUGGCGAAGGCAGAUCUCUGGGCCGUAACUGACGCUGAGGAGCGAAAGCGUGGGGAGCGAACAGG
rnacentral:rRNA from 1 species